UUUUGGUUUGUCUUUUUAUAAAUGAACUACAUUACAGAAAAUGGAUCAUUGAGAAAAUACACGGCAUUCACUGAGACUAAUAUAUGUUUACACAUCUCUCAGGUCGUACGCUCUCAUAUGAUUGGUAAUCAUCACGUUAUUACAUGUGCUGCAAUAUCUUUAUACAUUAAUGUUGUCCAUUUGUACGUGCAUUACAAACAAAUCAUAUAGAUAGCUGAGUUGGAAGUUUAUGAAAUACUAUUGGAAAGCUCCGCAGUUCGUAUCCAAGCACUGUGUUGUAAAAUCUGUAUAUGUAAAACACCUACCUCAUAAAAAGCUAAGUUUACCUCACAACAUGUAGGCAACAUGUUGUAGAUCCAGGUCAUCGCUUUAAGAUUGAAAAACAUUAGAUGUAACCACUAUUUCGGUAGUGUUGUAGACCUUUUCAAACCCUUCAAUGAUUUCACAGGCAGCAACGCUUAGCUAUUACAAAACACAUAUUCAAGAAGAAUAUAUAACGCAGUGUAGGCGUUUGUUUGUUUAUUCGUGUACAACAGUUCAUCUUUAGGGAAUAUUAUUUGAAUUUUUAUGACCAAGCUUAAAUAGUUUCAGUUUGUUAUUUAUUUAUAACUUAUUAUAUAUCAUUUUUUUUCUGUUCGUUGUGUUCUAUUUUGUUCAUCAGCUUUCUCGAAGUGGAUAAAAUAUACAUUACUUAAAAACAUAUGGAUUCAUUAUAAUAUCUUGUUCUUUUUAAAUAUGAAAUUUUAUCAAACUUUGGCAUUAUUAUUUCGAAUGCCAUCUAGUGGCAGACACAUCAAAUAGCUGAUAGAAUUCUUUACAACACCUAUUUUUAUUAUUCUACCGUCUCUUCAUUCAGCAACACGUUCCGUUACAGUUCUGUAGCAUUGUACCAAUGUGUUAAAUCAAGCAAUAUUCAUCAAAACUUUUACUAUAUGUUUCGUGAAUCACAAGAUUCUUCAAGAUCGGUGCUCAACACUUCUUCACUUCUUGUAUUCAUCGGUGAUAGAAAAGUCUACUCUAAUGCAGCAUGUUUCACCAUUGAAUGAGGCUCUUCUGAGUAAACAAUUGAUCAUAGUAUAUAGCGUUGUACCCCACAACAAAUCUGUACAUCGUCCACGGUUUUGUUCUCACGAGAAGAUUUUCCACAGACCUGCUCUAUUUAAAAAUUCUAUCGGACAUUUUUAUCUAUACUAAAACCUAGAAGUACCAAGGAAAUUAUAAUGACCAGCAGCCGAAAUCCAUCAACACUUCAUUCAUCAGUCUGUGAAAUUUCAUUCAUCAGAACGUAAGUUCUCCGAAUUCUAAGAUGAAGAGUGGCUCAAUCGUCGGUUGAGGACAUUUUAUUUCAAUUAACCAUCAGUUUCUUUCUUUUCAUUUUUGUAUUUUGGAAAAGAUGACGGGGCAAGCAUGUAUCAGCUAAAUGAUGAUGACCUAAUUACAGUCUAAGGUGUAGGAGAGACGCAAAGAAUAUGUAGCCUGAGAUCAAAUGGUCAGUGGUUGACGAAGAGAGUGAAGGAAACUUUACAAACCCCAGGAGUGUACGAGGGUGAGCUGAAUAGUUAAUAUGUUAACUAGGAAAGAGUGAUGCUAGAGAUGUGAAAUCUGGCAUACAUUAAUUUCAGUGCUUAUUAUUAUUAGAUGCAUUCCGGGUAGACUCGUAUCUGGCUGCUCAAAGAAGACUUCAAAAGUAAAUAAUAGUCACUUACCUGGAAAAAAAUGGACAAAAUAUUGCAUCAUGGUGUUAUCAAGUACCUGCAGAACAAGAGUUUAGCCCUCAAGGUCAUUCAUGCUAACAUAAUUGCUACAUUAGGGGAUUACGCUCCAACAGCACAAAAGUAGGUGCUGAAUUUAGGAGAAUCUUGAAAAUGACCCAACAUCUGGACGUCCUGCAACUACCAUCACCGACGAAAAUAUUGUGUUCAUCACAUGGUAAUGGAUGACAUGCGAUUGAAUAUAAAUCAAAUAGCGAAUGCUAUUAGUAUAUCCCGUGAGAGAGUUGAGAAUAUUCUGCACAAUGAACUUGACAUGACGAAAGUUUCUGUUUAACGGGUGUCACAUCUUCUGACACCCGAGGAAGAACACACCGGGCUGAUCACAUUACGGGAAAACCUGACAUUAUUUAAAGCAGAUCCAGCUAGUUUCCUUGAACUUUUCCUAACCCAGGAUCAGUGUUGGGUUCAUCACUUUGAGUCAGAGACAAAGAAACAAUCCAUUCAGUGGAAACACCCCGCCUCACUUGUUCCAAAGAAGGCCAAGGUCGUUACAUCUAAAGGGAAGGUGAUGGCCUCAGAAUUUUGGCCGCAGCGUUUUGUUUAUUGACUAUCUUCAAAACGGCCACACCGUCAACAGAGAGAACUAUGCCAACUUGAUGAAGCAGUUACGAAAGGCUACCAAAGCCAAACACCCAAGAAUACUAACGAAAAGGGUUUUGUUUUAUCAAGAUAGUGCUCCAGUGGACAUGUCUUUGGUUUCAAAGGCUGCUGUGUGUGACUGUGGCUUUGAACUGGUGCAUCACCCUCCUUAUUCUCCUGAUUCAAACCCAUCUGACUAUCAUCUGUUCCCCAAUAUGAACAAACGUUUGGCUGGGAACUAGUAUUGCGGUGAUGAUGACUUCAUAUCUGCUGUCGAUGACUUUUGAACCAACAGCAUGAGAGCUUCUUCACCAAUGAGAUCCAGGCAUGCAACACCGAUAGAAGUUUGAGGACCACAUAAUUUGUUCACAUUCCAUGAGAGUAUUUUAGUCAGCCUAUGAACUUUUCAGCCGACCUUCGUAAAAUAGUCCAUUAUUUUGAACAUUUCUUCCAGUCACUUGUCUUAUUUGAAUGAAAAUAUGCAUUCAUGUUAAAACUGACUAAAAAUGAACUAUUCUGUUAUUUAACUGAUUUACUACAAGAUUAUUAAAGCGAUGAGAAAUAAAAAUCAUAUUCACUCCCUUCGAGUAAAAGAGAUUGAUAAAAUGAGAACUUGUUAUUGGUGAACAAUGAACAACUGUCAGGGGUAAUAAGAAAUAAAAGGCGCUCUGAAAUGCUGGGUCACUUACAAGAUGAGGAACUUAAGUAUCACCGAAAUUAAAUUAGGCCGGAAAAAAAAAGUUCUGUCGCAUUUUAAUACUA